rnacentral:rRNA from 1 species
UACGUAGGGUGCAAGCGUUGUCCGGAAUUAUUGGGCGUAAAGAGCUCGUAGGCGGUCUGUUGCGUCGGCUGUGAAAACCCGGGGCUCAACUCCAGGCCUGCAAUCGAUACGGGCAGACUAGAGUUCGGUAGGGGAGACUGGAAUUCCUGGUGUAGCGGUGAAAUGCGCAGAUAUCGGGAGGAACACCAAUGGCGAAGGCAGCUUGCUGGGACGGUACUGACGCUGAGACGCGAAAGCGUGGGGAGCGAACAGG